GUUCAUCUUCAAGGGGCAGGGUGUAAUUCCCGACCGGUGGUACAGUCCAUGACCCGUCGUUUUGGCGGUUGAUUCGGUGUAAUUCCGAAACCGAUAGUUAAAGUCUAGAUAAAGGAAGAUUGAA
rnacentral:ncRNA from 2 species